AAAAGAGAAAUGUCCGGAUAUCGGCGGGGUUAGGCGAUCCUGGCCGUACGGACGGGCGGUACGAUGCGGAAAACGUUGGGGGAGAUGGGGUAAUGAUGGCCGUUGGAUUGGGUGGCUAGCCCAAGGUUGGACGAGGGGAUGGGACGUGGGUUCCGAAGCUCACGUGGCAGAGACUGGGGGUUGGAGGCACGUGGGAGAGAGGACGGUCGAUUUUAAGUGGAGCCAAACCCAAGAUGUGGAUUUGGUCUAAACACUGGUAUUGAAUCCACAAAAAGCGGUAUUCAAAAGAGAGCAGUUGGUUGGUACCAGCACGAGGGAUGUGGAAAAGCUCGCUUGGUGUUUGGAAGCAAUAAAGUUUUAUAGUGCAUGUGGAGGAGGGUCAUUAACACAGCUAGAUAUGGGCAUCGAGCCGUGCCUGAGCCCGCCGGGCUACAGGCUAAACGGGCCGUGCCUGGCCCGGCCUGUUACUAAACGGGCCGGGCCAGGCACGGCCCGCUUAGCCUAAAAGUUCAGCCCGGCCCGGCCCUAGGCCCGUGGGGUGGCGGGCCGUGCCGGGCCCUGGCACAAGACGGGCCAUGCCUGGCACGGCCCGUAUGGCAAAACAAAAAAGAUGUAGAAGUAGAGGCGGGCAUUGGGUCGGGCCGCCCAUGGUCCGGCACAGCCCGGCACGAAGCGGGCCGUGCCGGGCUCGGCCCAUGGGCCAAGAAUUCUAAACCCAGCCCGACCCCCUUUUAUGGGCCGUGCUGGGCCAUGGGCGGCCCGGCCCAAUGCCCACCUCUAAACACAGCCACCGAGCCUCCUUCACAACCAGUAUCCUUUGCGGUGCACCGCACAAUGCUGUGCAACCCUCCAUGAUCUCCAUAAAAAUGAGCACCCUAGUGCAUGCUCGUAAAUCGUAAACUAUCUUAUUAAAUGACUAUCCAUCUUCUGAUGGCAGUCGUCAAGAGCUGCACAAUAUUUUAUGCUGCAGUGCAGUGCGGCAGCUAUCCAGCCUGCACACCGCAAAGCAUCCCUUAGGCUUCUGUUUGCUUAACGAAUCUAUGAUAAUUUGGCUCUAAUUUUUAUCUCCAACAAGUUUUAAUGCCUCAUAGAUCAUCCAACUCCGAACCCAGAGUAUAAUAGGUGCCGCAUCCUACAUGAUGGACUAUAUAAGCAUAUAAGACUACAAAUCAUAUUGAAAUCUCAAAGCAAUAAUAAUUUUUUGAUUCUUGAAAAUUUAUUUAAUCAUGACCUGAAACAAAAUUUUCUCAUAAUCAAUUACUCCAAAGAGACAUAAGUCAAAAUAUUUAUUUCAAAUAAAAUGUUUUAACUAUACAAGUCUAAAUAGUCUAAACUAGAACUCUAAUGAUUGUGAACAUCUCCAGAAAAUUUAGCGCACUCUCUUAAGUUCCGAACAAUCAUAAUUUAGGAUAUGAAAAAGAGAGAAACAAAAAAUAAUGAGCUACACUAGCCCAGUAAGUAAAAUAACACCAUAAAGUGAGGUUUAAGCAUGCUAAAUAAAUAGUAAAAGAGCUGACCGAAAAUAAAUCAAUUUUUGAAUAAUGUAUAUAUUUCUUUUGAAUUUACUAUUAUUUUUAUAAACAAAUACUAGAAAUUCGACGUCAGGCUAUGGCCACGUAACCUAGUGGCAUUAGUCAGAUAUAAAAUACACAAAGUGCCAAAUACCACUCUAAUCACUGAUGGUUUGGUGUCGAAAUCAAUUUCCCAGAUUACAAAUUGAUAGAGCGUAUGAAUAAUCUCCAUUAGCGGAGCUAGACCAUAGCCAUGUUGAAAAUACAUAUAUAUAAAACAAAUUUCAUAAUUUACCCAGUCAUAUUUUUAAAUUUUAUAACAUAAUACAUAACAUGCCCAACCUAUUUGACCAAGUAUAAAACAGAUAUCAUAUUUAAUAAACUAAUUAUUAUUUUACAAAAUUUAAAAAAUAUACUUUGAAGUAUUAGGUUACUUACCUCUUCUUUUUUCAAAAUUUUACUUGAGUUAGGUAGGUUAGAUUCACCUAUUUUAAUAUCAUUAAAAUACUAUUAAUUUUAUCAUUAUCUUAGUAGUCGAACAAAGUUAUAAAUUAAAAUAUUAUUGGGGAAUACGAUCUUAUGCCCAAAUUAGGGUGAAAGAAAGGCAAGGUCAAACAGGGGUGAUACAUGAGCUAUGAUUUAAGUAGCUUAAUAAAAGUCAAGGAUAACUAAAUUUUUGGGGGUACCUAACAAGGUUGAGGUAUAGAGUCGGUAGAUCACCAGGUACCGAGGCGGUUCAAGGCUUCCACCUUAGGGUCAACUUGGAUUUGAGCAAAGGGAGUUAGAACUUUGAACUAAGAUCCCUGGAUUUGGCUUAAAGAGAGAAAAAAGAAGAGGAGAGAGAGUCUCAGUCUGGGUUCAAUCAAGGGUCUCAGUUUGGUUAUCGGUCCAGGUUGACCUGGAGCAAUCAAUAUGUUGACCCAUGAGUCAAGAGAGAAAAAAGAGGAUUUGAGAUAUUAAUCCAUGAAUAAAUAAAUAAAAUGGAAAGAAAAAAAGAAUUAGAGGAGAAGAGCAGGAAGACAAGGAAGAGAGGAGAGAAGACCGAGGAAGAGUGGGUGCCGAUGAUCUGGCGGCUAAGCAUGGUGGAGCUGGUGAUGGCAUUAGUGGCCUCAGUGACGACCAAGGACCAUAGCUGGAGAUAGUGGUGACGGCUGGUGGGAAUGGUUAUGCUUGGCCAAAAUAGAAAAAGAGGAGGGGCAAGGUCCCUAGCUACCUCGACGGUAGCUUCUCGGCCAUUGCGGUGGUGCAUUUCAGCAUAUUGCGAUGAUAUAGGUCUCGAAAUAAAGAUAAAGGGCAACAGAAAAAAAUAGAGGAGGAGAUUUCGAACGGUGAUGCUUGGUCGAGGUGGCACGCCGACCACUGGAGAAGAAUGAGGAAGGAGAGAGCUUCAUGAUAGAUCGAGUGGAGGAGAAUUGGGGUUUUUAUAAAGAAUUUUAGGGGAAGAAGAUAAGCUUGGGUUAUCGGCGAAUCCGGCCGGCUAUUCGUUGGUUGCAGUGGCCUCCAACAACUACCAGCCGUUCGCAUCGGCUCGACGAAUCUCCACCGGCCAUAGUUGGGAGUGGCCUUAUCCCAACAACCCGGGGAUCAGGCAGAAGAGGAAGACAUCCUCUUCUGUUUCGAUCCCAAAAAUUUAUUAAUUUUCUAAUUGAAGUUGGUGGGCAUUGCUGGCUUCAAUAUGGGAUAGGCCUAAUUGGUUCGAUUCUCACAAUUAGUUUUAAUGAAAAGAAGAGUUGGGGUUUUGCCCUCCUCAAAAUAAUAGGACCAGCAAUUGUUCGCCCUCCUCAAAAUAAUCAUGGCCCAUUCUCUCCAUUCAAAACUGCAUGGUGAGAUGGACGUCUUUCGGAUCUGCAUACUGUUAUGUUGAUUUAUUUUUCCGACAAUCAUCGGUGGCAAUUAUUAUGAUGCUAAAAUGAAAAAAUAUAGAAAUAGGUUUUUAUUUGAAAAUUAUUUUUUUACUGUGUUAUAACAGCUGAUAGCAGUUUCAACAUAUAGCAACUUCGUUCAUAUAACAUUUUUUUCUUUAUUCCUUUACAUUUUCUAUUUUUUGGUAGCUGGUAACCAACUGUGCAAAUGAAUCAAACUGUUUAUGAGCAGGUAGGGCUCGGACUCAUCAGAAGGUUCAUUUGAGCUCAACUCAGUUAGGAAACGAGCCAAGCUCAAACAUGUUUCUGAGCUCAGCUCAUAAACGAACCAAGCCGAAAUAUCUAUUACUGGGAUUGUUGCUGGAAAUGGGAUCCGGGGGCGACCGGUCCGCUGGGAAGGAGGAGCUUCGGCGAGAACCGGCGGGCGGCGAUUCGUCGGCGGGCGGCGUCCUUCGGAAGAUCUGCAAAAAAGCCGGUGGCCGAGCUUUCCGGCAUCGGCCUUCCGAUGCUUAAGUCAGAGGGGGCCCAUAUGUGGAGGAGGAGAGAGGAGGAAGAUAUAUUUUCCCGGAUUUUAGCGUCCAACCCCCUCUAGGAUGGAGGGGUCCCCUUUUUAUAGGGGGGUUGGAUUACCUGUGAUGUGAUGGGGCGAGGUUGCCGUACGACUUAGCACGUCGCUUGAGUUGGUGCACGAUCAGGUUAAUUAAUAUCUUGAUGUCGGAGGUGAGGCCGGGAUCAGAGAGUGUCACGGCUGACCGAACGCUGCCGAGUUGAUUUGCCGUGAAGGACUGAAGAUCUGUAGGUAAUAGAAGCCACGCGCAUUAAUUGUGGAGUAAGUCGAAGAUAUGCAUUAAUUGUUGAGUGAGCCGGAGAUAUGUAUUAAUUGUUGAGUGAGCCGGGGGUUUUCAGAGACCAUGCGCAUUAAACGCUGAGGGCGGUGGCAGGGUAUGGCCUCUGACCGAACUUCAGAAGGAUGCGACCGCGGUAGGUGAGCGGCGAGGUCGGACUUCCGAGGUCAAGAGCUCUGAAGUUAGACGCCUUGUGGGGCGCCAGGUCGGGCGUCCGGGGUCGGACGAUUCCGAGGUCGUGGGCCGUUGGUGCGCUCGUGUGCUUAGGGGGCGACUUACAUUCCCCCAACAGGGAUAUAGUGAAAAAGUUCAGCCCGGCUCAACUAAAGCUCAGCUCUAAGACAUAGUCAAGUCGAGCUUGAACAAAUUAUGUUGAUCUUGGCUCGAGCCAGGUUGGAACAGCUCCUUUAUUUUUCAAGUUGAGCUUGAGCAGAGUAACUAUAGGCAACACUUAUGCCUUUCUUUAAAAAUCACAAGGUUGAGUUGGCAUGGAAGAGAUCCCAUAUCAUGUUGCUGUUUGUUGAAGUUUUGAUGAAACACAACAGGAGAGGGCCAAGGCCAAUAGCACUCGACAUGCACUCCGUCCGAAAAACAUGAAAAUGGCCGAGUCCGGUCACGAGUGAAGCUUGCUUUUUCUCUUCUUCUACUUCUUUUCUUCUUUUUAAAACGGGCAUUUCAUACAUCACAGAUACGAAUACACUUAAUAGAAUCGGAAAAUAAAAUGUCCCAAAGUGCUCCAGACAUAUUUCACUCCCCAGUCCAUACUCCAUAGGGUGCCUCCGGAAUGGCUCGCGACAUAUGUUGGGUUGGAAAAAUUUAAAUACGCACACAGCCCGAGAAUUCGGCCGCGUGCGAGUUUGAAUUUCGUGAAACGCUCGUUAGGGCGUUCGUGAAAUCACCGCGGGCGCAUCCGUGGAAGGCGCGGAUGCGUCCCAAAAAGACUGAAAUAUCUUUGCUCAAAUAUCCCUAUAAAUACCCCCUAUUUCAUUCUAUUCUAAAUACGAAGAAUUAGAAAAAAAUACCCGAAAAAUUCUGGAGAAAAGUUCUUCCUCAUAGCCACUUCUAAUUUUCAUUUUUGCAAUUCUAUUCGGUUUAUUUUAUUCUUUUUGUUUCGUUCUUCACUGGAUCUGUAAGUCCGAUCGAGUUUGAUUUGGCUUAUUCCGAGACAUACCGAAGAAGAGGUUUAGGGUCUUCAUAUUUCUGAGGAGGAUUGUCGGGAGAUCCGUACAUGGGGGCAAACACUUCUUUGAUACGCGCUUCGACCUGCCUUCAAUCAGGUAAUUUCCUCUUACUUUUGUUUUAAAUUUAAUAUUAGUAGAUUUAUAGGAUUUGUAAUUUUAUGAUUUGAAUUUAUUAAAUUAAUAGAUUUAUUUUGUGCUAGGAUAGAUUUCUUUUGUGAUAAAAUAGAUUUAUUUUGAUACCGAAAUAUAUAUAUAUAUAUAUAUAUAUUAUUUCUUUUAAGAAUUUCUAUUAAUUAUAAUUAUUGGAUUUAUUUGCUUAGUUAGGUGAUAUAUUGCUAACAAGCCGCCACCUAGUAUGCCGCCCUAUUAGCCUCAUGAUAUAGAAAUAUAGUAUGAAAUGUAACUCCCUCUCUCACCAGCAUCCAAAUGUCACAAAGUAGGGAAUGAACUUCUCCGUCACUGCUCGAGUUCCUACGGACCCAGCCAAUCACCGUGGCCGAAUCAUCUUUCAGUAGAACUAAACUCGCCUGAAGAAACCGCCAUGCAUAAUGCACGCCCAUCCAAACCGCCCGCAUCUCAAAAAUCAAAAUAUCGAAAAUCUGAUAAUCCUCUACUGCCACCAUCCUAGAGAUCAGACUUUCGGCCCCUGCUCUUUUGCCUCCAUUCAAAGAUCAGGCCAUCAAAAUUGCCUCACACCCGAUUCAAUACAAAUGACAGGUAACUAAAAGUAACGUUGGGGUGGACGCGGUCAAGAAGAAGAGAUAAACAUGUCCCUUCUUCUUUUAUUAUAUAGAAAAGAAACGGGCCGCAAAUUGCCACGGCUUGGAACACGGACACGUUUACACCACCUCGGCCUUGUCGGACGACCGAUAAAGGGAUGCGCUCGGCCCUGGACACGGCCAAGAGAUGGACAACCAAGCCGAGAACGGACGAAGAAAAACGAAAGCUUUGUCUCGGCUCAGAACCUCUACCCACCGGCCUGAGCGGUUGGCCGUAAGGCCGGAAAAAUGAAAGAAAACGAGCCAAAUAAAAGGGUGGGUCCUAGGCCAUUUCUCUGGGCUUUUCACCCUCAAGAUGCAUGACACAUCUCAUUAUUGCAAUCAAAUUGAGAGAGAGUUGCAAUCAGGUGAAGCGACAAGACAUUAGCAGGAACACCACGCAUUGAAUUGAUACGAACAAUGAAAUGCGCCUGAAAAUGCAUCUGGUUGCUAAAGAUUUUGGGUAAAGGACAAGCUAAGUAAAUUUUAGAUAUUAAAAUUCUAAAAUCAAUUAUCUACAUAGGAAGAAUGUCUAUAAUUGCAGGUGAGGUGUGGCCGAUAGUUUUUAGGAUUGGCAACCAAGCCUAGAUUAGGCAGAGUCUGCCCGGGUCAAGAGAGAGCACCUUUUAAUGGGUAAAUUUACUUUGGAGUGCCGAGGGAAUUGGAAAGCUGGGGAGAAAGCCCACUUUUUCUUUGAUGGUAUUAGAAUUUCUUUGCAAACCAAGGUUGGAGAGCCAUUUUCUUAUUGUAAAUUUUAAUCAAUAAGAGAGAGAAGGAAUCCUGACAUGCUUUGCUCAAUUUUAUUUUAAUUAAAAAAAGAGAAAAUAGGGUCCAUAUCUCUUUUUUAUAUUAACAAAGAAUAAAACUAAACUUACUUAUCUUUGCUUAUAUUAAUGACGUCUUCGCUUGCAUAAUUGAGAUUGAAUUCCUCUUCUAGAUACUAAAGUUUUCUGCAAUAAAGAUGAAAAGUAAAAAUAAUCAUAAAAAGGCUAAGAUUCUAAGACAGAUAGAUCUCCACUGUUACAUCAACUUUCUCUUCAGCUAUAUAGCCUAAAUGCUAGAAUUUGAACUUCAUUGCUCAGCCCAUCUUCUAUCUUAGGCUAUCUCUAAACUAUUAGGUGCCCACUUAGGUUUGACCAAACAUAAUCCUAGACAUGUAAUGAAUAUAUGCUGCUUUUUUUUUCUCUCUCUCUCUAUGGAAUUCGGGUCAGCCCAUUCCAAAGCUACUAUCGAGUAUUUUUUGAAUCCAAAUUACCCAAAUAGGCUCAAAAGCUUGUACUUAACCCACAUUCCUAGAUAACUGGCCCAAGCUUGCUUUGUAAUCAACCCGUAUGUAUGGUCUAAGUCUAGAGCAAUAAAUUGCAAGUCAGUCAGGUUGGCCCUGUUUGUGCUAGAAAGUUUUCUUUCCCCCGCUAAUAGAUCAAAGACAUGUUGCAAAUUUUUUCUUCAAUACUUUUUGUCAUAUACUUAAAAUAUAAUAACAAAAUAAUGCUAAGAAAAGAAGAUCUGGGAUUACAAAUUAAGAGAUAUAAAAAGAAAUAGAAAUGAAAAAGAAAAUGCGGUAAUCUUGAACACCAUAUCUAGGCCACUUUUAUUUUCAGCAUUUUUACUUCGUUCUAAUUAGACAGCCUUGUAUCCCAUCAAAAAAAGGGACAGUGUUCCCAGUCGCCUAAAGUCAAGCUUUAAGGAGCCCAUCAUACCACCAUGGUAACUAUCUUACAGUCCUAAGGUAGGUUUGAAUGGUUCCCUGAUCCCAUGGUGACCAUUGGUUUGGAGGUAGAAUCGAAAUCCAAUGGACUCAAGUAACCAAGUACCCAUGCGAUUAGAAAAAAUCGUCACCACCUGUAUGUAUGUAUGUAUGUAUAUAAAGUUUGGGCAAGUUGUAAUUCUGGUCAGUAUUUACCCACCCUAUUAGAGAAAAGGUGAAAAAUUUUGUUCAAUAUAUUGAAAUCAUAUUGGCCAAUAUCUCAAGAAUAUCCCUCUAUUUUAGCUGGGAUAAUAAGCUUAGAUUUUAAAAAUAUCGAUCGACAAGAGCCCAAUAUUGAUAUAAGUCAGUAUCUUGGCUAAUAGUAACAGGGACCAACCCUUGCUUCUAUGCAUUUUGUUAGAAGCCAACACUCCAAAUUUAGAUUUCCAAUACAACCAUGCUAGCAUGGCAAAAUAAGAAGUCAGGAGGGAUGUUUUGAAGACAUUUUCAAGUGAUAUAUUUGAAGUGCAAUAUGUAGGAUGUAAUUUAUAAGCGGAGAAAACCAGCUUAAUUGGUUAUAUCUUGAAAACAAAAUUGCCAUUCCAUAAAAUCAUACAUGUUAGUAUAUAGCAUACAAACACCUGUAUGUUUAUAUUAUAUGAAUGUAUGUGCAUAUGUAUGCAUGUACAUAUACGAGUAAGCAGGUGUGUAAUGAUCUCGAACAAAAGAGAAAAAUGGAGUUCUAAAAAAUAAAAAUAAAAAAGAGAAAAAAAUGAUCUCAGAAGGCAGAAAUGAAACAAUAGAAAGUUUAAAAGUGUUCAAGUACUUGAACCGUGGGAAUAUGUUCCAAAGGAUACAGAAGUAAAGAAACCGUACCACCCAAAGAAAAUCUCAGCUAGCAUUACUCAUUGAAGGGGGUACAGUAGUGAUCCCCUUUCCCAUCCCAUCAGAGAGCCAUCCACUCCAUCCAUUAUGUCGAUCCAACGGCCAUUGCCACCUCCUCAUGAAAAAAAAAACGAGAAAUCUGGAUUUAUUCCCUCCAAAGUUUUCUAAUUAGGAAAAGGAAUCCCUGAUCACUUGCACACUUCCCAAGUUAUGAUUGGAAGCCAUACAUCCAUGAAAAAGAGAACUCCAUGCGACGACGAAACAAUCCGAUAGCUCUUGUCGUUCGCCACCUCUUGAGCCAAAGCAAAUAAAUAUUGAAAACCUGUGUUUGUGUGCAAUUAUAGGAACUCCAAGGAAGAACCUAAAACCAUGUAGCUCCAUGGGAUCUUUACCUAUCGGACACCUACUGUCAGUAUCACCUCCUCUAGAUCUCAUCUAAAUCUAGAGAGGGGAAAUAUAUAAUAUUUCUCUAGCAGAAGCUCCAUAGUUUGAAGUCUCCCUCCUCAUCCGACUCCUCCCAAGGAGAGAUCGACGGGUUGAUAAUUUGAUCCACAAAUAUCGGUGACUGGAAUGCUCCGAAGUCGACCCACCAUUCCUUUUCCAUGGUGCUCGCUACGCAGCUGCUCGAGCUGGUCGUCGUCGUCGUUGUGGAUGGAGAGUAUUGGGUGGUGUCGGAUGGCGAAGAUGGAGAUGAAGGGGAGGGAGGAGACGGCGAUGGGGUGAUCGCAGGGCUGAGCGUGGAGGUGGUGGGGGUGGCGGCGUUCGCAGCGGCAGCAGCGACUCUCUGGAUGGACUUUGGGGAGGUGACAGUAUUGGGAGGGUGGUAGGGGAGGGAGGUGGGGAAGUUGAGGGCGGCCGACGAGCCCCUGAGGCAGAGGAGGGCGGCGUCGUAGGCCCUCGCAGCGGCUUCAGGGGUGGAGUAGGAACCCAGCCAGAUCCUGGUCUUCUGGUGGGGUGCCCUGAUCUCUGAGACCCAGGAACCCCAGCUCCUCAUCCUCACUCCCUUGUAUGGCCUCUUCCUAAUACUUUCCACCCUUGGUUGGAGGUUGGUCAUGGUGGUGGUGGUCAUGGUGGUGCUGAGAAGCGGGAUGGAAGACUUGGGAGUAUGAAGGACUCUGCUGCUGCCGCUGCUCUUCACCAUGGAUGGAUGAUGAUGAUAACGCACUGCUGGAUUCUCCUGUUUGUCUACUUUUGCUCCCUUGCUCUUUCUAUGAUCUUAGUGGGAGAAGUGAAUGAGAUGGGUGGCCUAUUUAUAGGGGGGAGAAUGGUAGUGUUGAUUGCAUAAAUCUCCAGAAAGUUCUCCAAAAUUAGACAGCCAAUUACUCGAAAAUCACCCAAGCAUAUUUAAGGAAUUGCGAAGUAUAUUUUUAGAAUCUAUUAUCGUAAAUUUUCUUUUAAAGAAUUAACAAAGUAUAUUCUUGGAAUAUUUAUACAAUCUAUUAAAUCUCAUUGCAGGACAGGCAAGAAAUUCUUUACAACUUCAGUUUCUUUUCUUUAUGGUAUUAAAGCCUAUUAUUCCUUCUUGCCUACUGAAGUUCCUACAGACUCGUAUGGUUCGCAGAAAAAAAAAAUCACUGAAAUAUUUUUUUCUGAGAAGAUAAUUCCUGCGAAUAGGAUGCCUAAAAAAAAUAAUUGUGGCGGAUCAUAAAAAAGUGGUACAUCUUAGAGUGGCUUAUAUUUAGUUGAGCAUCUAUUUUUCUAAAAAAAAGUUGUAUGAUAUACCUAUUAUACCCUUAAUUAAACUAAAAACCUUAUCCAUGGAUUUUAAUGGCUUAAGAAACUUGCUAAUGCUCCGGCUGAACUUAUUUGGAUUCAGUCUUUACUCCAAAAAUUGGGUAUUGAUGCAUAUUCUUGAAAUCUAUUGCCAUAUAUUUUUAAUUAAAAGAUUCUCAAAGCAUGUUCUUGGGACAUUCGUAGAAUCUAUUAAAUCUUCAAGGUCGUGUAGCUACUUAGCAAAGGAUUUUCAAAACAUAUUCUUGAGUUCUAUUAUUGUAUAUUUUCAUACUUAUAUUUACUACCAUUGUAAGUAAUUGUACAAAAAUAUUAUAAAAGAAUAUACAAAUCUCCUCGUCUCUGAAGGUCCAGUAAGAAUUUCUUCACAACUCCUGUUUCUUUUCUUUUCUAUGGAUAACUCUUUGGUCCAAGGAGGGUACCAGAGAGAAAAAAAAAAGAGCAAUGGCCAUGUAUAUACGAGGCAGCAGGUCAAUUGAUAACAUUGGUGGCACAUAAGAAAAGUAUAUUUUUCUUGAAUUAGUGUCUACUUAAUUAAUGCUAUCCAAUGAUGGAACCACCUUUAUUUCGAGCAUCUUUUCUUUUAUGAAAAUUUUCGGCAUGGUAUAACUAUGUCAAUGUCUUCUUAAAAAUCUGAUUACGUGUGAUUCGGGCAGUAGCAUCAUAUAGUGACAUUUGCAUGUAAUGUGGCUCAGAUACGAGACGUUUGUCAGGUGCAACUUGGAAGCCAGUUGUCUCACAAUAAUCUAAUGUCAUGUAGCUAUGAAAAAUCCAAGCAUUGAGAAUUCAACAAGGUGGCAGCAUGAUGUUGAACCCCAAUUAUACCUAGCUCCUUUGGCAUGUUCUAGGGAGAGAUGACCAUAAUUAAAUAAAAUGCACAAGAAGUGCGCAUGAUGGCACCUUAAUGAAUCUCACACCAUUUGUUACAUCUUACAUUGCUUCAUUUUUUAAUCUAGUUAUAGAGAAAGAAGAAUAAUUUUGUCAAUCAUAACAUCUAGAUAAGAUUGCACAUAUAUAUAUAUAUAUAUAUAUAUAUAUAUANNNNNNNNNNNNNNNNNNNNCACAUAUAUAUAUAUAUAUAUAUAUAUAUAUAUACACCUUUCCACACUUGGUUCCACAUAACAAAGUAAUUAAGAAACUGCUUGGAAACUCACCUAUCCAGCUCAAGGAAGCGGACGAUCUCGAGAAGAUGAGAAAGUGGCUAGAUUACUGUUCUUAGUUAUAUACUAUUCUCUUCCCACUCUUUCUUUGAAUAUAUUCUAUACGUAUGUAGUAGGUACAAUUUCUAUAUCGUGUUCAUACAACCGAGCUGUAACUUACAUUGAUUCUUUUCGUCAGCAACAGUAAAUAUAUUGACGGUUUUUUACAUUUUAACUAAGCUUAAAUUAUGAGGGACAACUUCUUGCAUGGUGACAAUUAUCUAAUUAAUGCAUCGAACCAUAAUAAAUGUUAAAAUGCAGUGGACUGCAAUGUCCUUCAUUUGUAUUAUGAUGAAGAUAAGAUUAUUAGUUAUACGGCCUCGCUUUGGAAAUAAAAAUUAGAGAGAGAGAGAGAGAGAGAGAUGGCAUGAGAUUCCUUAAGGAAGCUUCGUGGAUUUGGGAGUGGGACGCUUUCAGGGGCUCAGCCGGGACGUUGAGAGAUGCGAUGCAUGCAGCCCAACAACUUCACUUAGCUGGAUCUCUUCUGGCCUGCAAAGCUCAAACCGCGUAAUGACUCAGCUCUCAGGAAAAGGACAUCUUUGUUGAAGGGAACUCGCAUAUUGGAGCCGGAUAACUAGGCAGCGGUUUGGGACUUCUUAUAUGGGAUUCAUUUCCAAGGAUGAUCUGCUAUGGAACUAUAGAUCUGGAUUUAAUGGCCCUCAACAUUCAUUCAUUCAUUCAUGCAUACAUACAUGUAUAUAUAGUCUCCAUCCAGAUCCGAUCAAAUCUACAUUAGACAACGAGAGUCUCACACGAUUCUCCAAAUUGUUAGAUAUAAUCUACUAUCUCUAAACUGCAUAUAUACCAACAAAAAAAAAACAUAUGAUUUAAAAUCUCUUAACCUAUGCAUCAUUUAAUCAAAAGAAAAUAUAAUUUAACAUUACUUAGACUGUUUACUUUUAGAUGCAUAGAUUAGAUAUCUCCAAAUCAUCCAAUUUUUAGUAUGUAAGUAGUUUAGAGAUAGUAAAUAACAUUCAACGACUCCGAUCAACCUAUAUCUGAUUAAAACUAUGUGGAAAUCCCCACGAGUGUAGCCCAAUCUCUCUCUCUCUCUNNNNNNNNNNNNNNNNNNNNNNNNNNNNNNNNNNNNNNNNNNNNNNNNNNNNNNNNNNNNNNNNNNNNNNNNNNNNNNNNNNNNNNNNNNNNNNNNNNNNNNNNNNNNNNNNNNNNNNNNNNNNNNNNNNNNNNNNNNNNNNNNNNNNNNNNNNNNNNNNNNNNNNNNNNNNNNNNNNNNNNNNNNNNNNNNNNNNNNNNNNNNNNNNNNNNNNNNNNNNNNNNNNNNNNNNNNNNNNNNNNNNNNNNNNNNNNNNNNNNNNNNNNNNNNNNNNNNNNNNNNNNNNNNNNNNNNNNNNNNNNNNNNNNNNNNNNNNNNNNNNNNNNNNNNNNNNNNNNNNNNNNNNNNNNNNNNNNNNNNNNNNNNNNNNNNNNNNNNNNNNNNNNNNNNNNNNNNNNNNNNNNNNNNNNNNNNNNNNNNNNNNNNNNNNNNNNNNNNNNNNNNNNNNNNNNNNNNNNNNNNNNNNNNNNNNNNNNNNNNNNNNNNNNNNNNNNNNNNNNNNNNNNNNNNNNNNNNNNNNNNNNNNNNNNNNNNNNNNNNNNNNNNNNNNNNNNNNNNNNNNNNNNNNNNNNNNNNNNNNNNNNNNNNNNNNNNNNNNNNNNNNNNNNNNNNNAUAUGGCUCCAAUUUGUGGGUCUCACCAGCAUCUCACAUGUUCUCUUUUUCGAUAAAAUCUCACACGCUUUUAAGGUUGCCAACUGCCCUUCUGAGCUCAUUUACGCGUACGCGUCUUGACUUGGGGGAAGCUCCAAAACGCUGGCUGCAGAGGCCACUGUAAUCUCACGCUGUCACACACCAAUUGCUCAUCAUGAAACCUUUUACUCUAUCAUACAACUUUACAACUGAUGUCAUGUGGUGCGAUAUAUUAUAAGGUUUAGCAUUUUAAUUUCGGCCCACGAUGGGAUUCUCUCCGUACCAGAUUUGCAAAAUAGAGCAUCACAUGGAUCGAACUCGGACACAAAAAAUAUCAAAUUUUAAAUAGGUCUGGCCAGAAGCUAGACUAAAAAUAAAUAGAGUUUAGUCUCGAGGCUAGCCUAUGAUCAGUGCUAGUGCAAAGUAGGCGAGCUUCAGCGAGCCAAGCUACCUCAAACUCUGAUUAUAUUUACAACCAGAUGCAGUUCAUGCUGACAUACUUCAUUUUAAAUUAAACUCACAUCUUAAAUUGCUCGUGUCUAGCUCCUCUAAGUAAUUAGAUUGAAGUCUAAAGAUCUCUCAAUCUUGAAAUCAAGACAUUAUUUUAUAAAAUUAUUUUAACUUUCAAUUAAUAAAUAUAAAUAGUAUUUUAUUAAUAAAUAGAAUAAUAUUUAUUUUAUUUAUUGAUAUUUUGAGUUUAAUCAAACUGAGCUUGAACAAGCAAAACAUUUGUCUAGUUUGGUUGAUAUACUUAUUGAGCGAGCGGAACUCAAGCCACAAACUUGACCUGGGAGAUGUAUAUAGGUUAUAGGUUAGAUAUGAGUCAUAUGAGGGUGUUAAGAAUCGGCUUGUUUAUUCCUUAAAUCUUUUCUAGGCUCGGGAAGGUCCUCAUCUGCGUCCUCUCUAGAGUAGAGCUAAUCAUGGGCUAAAUUUGGGCACAAAAAAUAAUAAAUUUUAAAUAGAUCCGGCUCGAAGUCCGAGUAAAAAUAAAUAAAAUUUAGAUCUGAGGCCCGGGGUCUACAAUCAACUCUACUCCAAAGUUCAUUUAGAACAGUAUCUUCAAACCUUGCUGCUAUCUCUCUCUCUCUCUGUCUCUCUGUCUCUCUCUCCCCUCCUGACUCUUUAUUAUAUGACUGAAGACUGUGAUAAGAAAAGCUUCACAUUAUAUAUGACACCAUGCGCUACCUGAUAGAAUCAUUAAAAUAAGGGAGCUGUCUGGAAUGGACAGCAGAACAAUGGGUGAUCCAAUAGUUAAUCAUCCUUGAUAUCUGGGCAGACUUAGGAGAUUAGCUCACUGUGUUUUUUUGUUGGGAAGUCGAAAGAAGGCUUCUCUCAAACUACAUAACAAUGCAUAGAUCAUUGAGUCAAUUAAGGAGGCACUGUCAAUUGGUCACUCAAGUAUGACUGUCAUCCAGUCAUCGCAUGUCUGAAAUAUGGUUUCCUUGAGACUAUACUUGACAUGCCUUAAAUUGGCCUCAGACUCAUUUCUAGCCCGAAUUACUCAAAUAGAUUUCACAAAUUAUCACUCUUAAUCAUGUGUAUUCUUUUUAUUAAUGUGUAUUUUUCCAAUUUAAAAAGGAGCUUACAAUGUCAAUGUACAUCUGUAUUAAAUUCUUCUUCUCUCUUCAUCUUACUUCAUAAAGAUGGCUUUGGUGCUACUGCUAGUAAACUCCUUUUUGCACAGCAUACAUAAUUGUUAGCAGUAGCAUUGCAGCUUUUAAUACGCCAUUUCAUGCACUCUCUCUUCACUAAUAACCUUAUUGCAAGUCCCUAAAAAAUAUUAUCAGUAGCUAGACUUUGGAUAUUACCAAAUGUGCAUCACCUUAAAAAUAGCUUUUCUCAUUUCUAAAUGCAGUGUAUUUCCUUUGUGAAUAAUAAUUGUGGUGUAUAACAUUGUUGAUGCUAGAAAGAGUCACACUCCAAGAAUUAAGCAUAUUAGUAAACAUUUCCAAAAUAAUAGAGGGCCCCCUAGCAAUUGUUACCUUCAUUUCUUUUCUGUUGGUGUAGUACUUUCAAGAAAGCAGGGGGAGGGACAGGAGGGGGUUGGUGAGUAGAGAGCUCCAAGUGGAUGUUCUUAAAACAAAACGCCAAACACAUAUAAUAUGGGACAAAUGAUCUCAUCACUAUAGUCUUAUUAUAAUAAGGUAAACCACUUAUGUUGCAACAAGAAAUAAUUUAAUUUUGUUAUGAUAUUAUUAGCUUUCGAGACUCGUAGCCAAGUAUGAACACUCUCGGCCAACUUUCUCACAGAAAACUUGCAUGUGCUUGUAUUAUAAGAAGAUCUCAGACCUGAUCUCCUUGUAGAACGUUACUGGUCGGAGUUAAUGUUUUGGUGGCCAAAGAUGUAAUGUUCUUCUUCUUUUUUUAAAGAAAAAAGAUUAAAGUGAAAACUGAUAUUUUUUAAUGAUAAUUAGGGUGCUAAUUAGUUGAGUUACAAGAGAUCUAGUUUCCAUCAGACUCUUCAAUUUUGAGUCAACUUUCUCUGAUUUGAAGAAGUUAUGAUUUUCCAAACAAUGAAACAGACUUCCAGAAGAGAUUAGUGAGCUCUAAAGACCAUCUAAGCAUGCAUGUUAAGCAUCUUAACUUUAUUAUGCUCUCAAUCCUUAAUAAUUUCCCUAAUACAACGCUGCAGCUGCACUAGUUAACAAACAUUAGGAAUCAAUUACUGCUUAGAUUCAGCUAAGCUUGGGACACAUCUACCGUCCAGCGCCUGUUGGGACCAGUACCAGACUUAUUUAAUAACAUCUUUUAACCCCUGAUAUCAUCCAUACCGAAGUAGGGAUGGCUAUGAGUUGUAUAUCCACAGAUGACAAGAUUAGCCCUCAUCAUAAGAGGAUAUGGGCAUCUGGAUGAUAGGCGACCAGAUCUUGGUGGGCAUGCGCCCCUUAAUCUCAGCUCAUGGGAUGUCUCAUAUUCCAUUAGUCAUUAUUCUUUAAUGUCUGGAUUUGUAUGAAAGUUUCAGAUAUAUUCUUCUGAAAGGCACCUUCAUGAUCUGUGUGAGGAAUCUAAUUGCGUGAUAGUUUUUUUGAACAGAUGACAACUGAGAUAGUAAAUUCUAAGAGCUUGUUCAAAUAUUUAAUACAGUAGCAUACACCAACAUUAUGGUAGGAAAGCAGGUGGGGAGGAGGAUUUGAUGCCUGUGAGGGAGUGUCUCACACAUACCCAACAUGGCUCAAAGACUCUCCACCAUCCGCCCAUCCUUCUCUUUUAGUAUGUUCUAAUACCCACAUAUAUUAUGUUUCUAUUCUUUAACACAUACGAGUGAGUCAAAACCUAUGUUGCAGGAGAAGUCAUGAAACUAAGAAAAUAGAAACAAACAAAAAGAAGCAGAAAUUAGUCAUUGCGACGGGCAAAAACUUGCAUUAAGAAAAAAAUAAAUCAAUAUAAAACAUAGUAAAUAUCCUAGGAAAUAAGAGUUUCCUCACAACUCAUUUAUAUCAUCACUAGUUGAAAAUUUUAAGAAUAUGAACCCAAAGAAUUGGCAUUUGAAAUCACAGUUGGCUGUUUAAUGCACUUCAGUAGAACAUGUCCGAGCAGAUAAUAUCGUAUCAUCCAAAGAGAAACAUAAGGUCCACCAUUUUAUUAGCUGAUGUAAAGAGAUGAGCAAACAUACGGAUAGGCAUGCACUGAAAGAUUUCAUAGCAAUCUCAAGCAAGGAAUUUCCAACCACGAGGGACAGCUUAUCUGAAGGUCAAUAGUAAGUACGGUGACCUAAUCUACAUAUUUCUAGCCGUCUAGUCUUUUAACAGAAACAUUACGAAUCUAUCUUGCUUUUCAAAUAACUUAAGCGUUUUAUGGCUCCAAAAAAAAAAAAACUCAACAACAUUUUGCUAGUUCUUGCAAUAAUAGUUAAAAUUAGAUCAAAAGUCAGGAUCUAUUAGUUUAACAAUUUUUUAAGUAGUAUGUUAUCAUUAUUAUGAGAUCUUGAUACAAUGUCUACUCCUUAAUGAUGUGGUUACUUCAUUAUUAUGAUAUCUCCAAUCUAUUGAUAAUUUUGGAUGACUUUCGCCAAACUAACUAUGCUCUGAUAUGCCCUGGCAUUUUCUUUCAGAGAGGAGCCUUUACAUGACUUUGAGUGAAAACAUAUAAUAUAAGAGUACCCUCAAUCGCUAAAAAUUCAAUCACAAUGUUGCCACCAUGUUCACAUUGAAACACGCAAAGCAUUUGAUGGUCUGAUCUUUAAACAUACCAUAUUAAACAUACCAAGACCAAUGGUAAAAGAAACAUCACCAAUUCUUCAUACCAAGCAGUAUGAUUUCAUAUCCCAUGAAAGCAAGAUGGUAAACAAGCAACAAUCUGCCAUGGGAACCCCUUCAAUAGAACUUUGUUUUCAAGAAAAUGCAAAGUUCCGGAUUGAGUUAUUAAUAACCACUUUGUAUUUGGUCAGGAUAACAUGAGUGGAUCCGAUAAUAAAACUAAUCAUCUGUUUUUCUGGAAACAAAGACAGCCCACGCCGCUAGCAAUCCUAGAAAACCGAAUAUGCAACAUUAAGCAGUAGCCAUAGAAUGUCAAUCUAAAGAUGGAUCAUGUUCUAAGAGCUCAAUGAUUGUAAGUUCAGAUGCCUUCUCUAGGUCCAAAUAACUAAUAACAGCCUAACCAUCAAGUUGGGUCAUUGGUGACCUAUUAGCUGCUCCAUGUAGAACCAUUACAAACUUAUCAUUGUCUACUUGCAAUAAUUAAGAACUGUUAAGUUACAAAACCUGCCUUGCUACUGGGACAAAUAUCUCAAAUAUUAGUUUACAGAUUUCCAAUUCAUCAGACAAAGUUGUUAUGGCUUCCUAACUAAAAAGCAGCUCUCAUGAUAUAUUUUGAAGUUGCCCCAGAGGACACAGCCAAUCACUUAUAUCACAUGCUUAGAUGCAAGUAUGAGUAGGUGUCUUCUCAAUUAACGACUAGGGAUAGCAAACUUCUCCAAAUGUAUAAUUUCUUAUGCAGGUAGGAGUCCCAUUAAAUUUAUACAAUUGUUUCAUCCAUGGUCUGCCGAACCGGCCGGUACGGGCGGUCCGGCCUCCGACCGGUACCGGAUCAGNNNNNNNNNNNNNNNNNNCAUGGAAUCCGGUACCGGUACUGGUACGAGACCGGUACGGAAUCGGUACAGAUCGGUAUGAGACCGGCGUGGAUCAGCGUUGAAUCCGGAACCAGUACGGAACCGGUACUGUACCGGUCCAGGCCGCCACCGGUACCAGUACGGCGGACCUUGGUUUCAUCAAUAGUGUGAUAAGAAAAAUACAUGACAUAAAACCAACUAUUGAGUAGUAACAUUGACCCAUAUCCUAUUUUUACCAUAAUAAAUCAGGCUAGAUCAUAUUUUGCAAUGGUUAAGUCUGCAUUAGUAUGACGUUUGAGAAGCUGAGGAUGCCCUGCAGGAAAGCAAUCUCCAAGUGUGCGUAUGUCACUGCUAGUAAGUAAACCAAGUGAUACAAAGAAUCAGCAAAAUAGACAAAAAAUGAGCAUUUUGGGAUUGCAGUCUCAAGAUUUGCCCACAAGUAUAUCUCAGUUACAUACAUGAUUACUUUCAAAAAUAGCCUGAUUUUUUAUAAAAAGCAGAUCUAAUUCAUGCUUUCUGCUUUUCGUGAUAUAACAACGUGUCAUUCUCAGGUAGAUAGUAGAUAUAGAUCCAUCUAAAGCCAAUGGGUUUCCCUAAACCAUCAUACGGAAAGACUUUUAAUUUUUGAGAGAGAGUUAAGUUAGGUAAGACUCAAUUUUAUCAAAUGUCCUGGUUCAGUUAUAAGAAUCGAUACGACAUCACAAUUAGUACAGGAUUGCUCAUCAAUUAUCUUUUUAAACCACUACGGUUCUAAAAAUUGAUGUAUCGUCAUUUUAAAGUAUAGAAUUAUAUAUCAAUUACCUUCUAAUCACAAUAAGUGCAGCCUUCUGAAUUCUUUGUGAAAAUAUGUAGGCAUUUUUUUUAAGAGAUACCAUGGUUUACUUGGCAUGUACACCAUCCAUUUCACAUACACAUGCAUAAAUGUCAUUAAGGACCUAAAAGGUUGUGCUGUAUGUAGGGUCGACGACUUAGAGGAUGUAAAAUGCAACAAUAUCUUCCCCCUCUGAUGUGAUAAAAACUGAAAUCAUAGGAACAGUCAAGACAGAGAUCCAAAGUCAGAAUUAUUAGUAAGAAAUUUAAACUAGGUCAAAGUAAGUUUGGUAAAUUGACAAGUCGAUGACUAAGGCAAAGUGAUCGUUGCACGAUAUCAAGGUAAGGAAAGGUAAAAAUCCAUGAAGAUUGGAGUGUCCAGCUCUUGACAUUUGCCAAUGUGGGNNNNNNNNNNNNNNNNNNNNNNNNNNNNNNNNNNNNNNNNNNNNNNNNNNNNNNNNNNNNNNNNNNNNNNNNNNNNNNNNNNNNNNNNNNNNNNNNNNNNNNNNNNNNNNNNNNNNNNNNNNNNNNNNNNNNNNNNNNNNNNNNNNNNNNNNNNNNNNNNNNNNNNNNNNNNNNNNNNNNNNNNNACUCCUGAUGGAGACACAGAUCUUUUUACACCUUGUCCUUGAGAGAGAAAGUUGCAAGCAUUUAGAUUUUAGAAAUUGAAUAUAUGAAUCAAAUAAAAACAAAGCGACCCUUACUUGAAUUUCUGGCUUAUACCCCUCUAUAGCAACACUAGGCCUCUGUCCUCUAUUUGAUGUUACUAAAUUUAGAAAUUGGAAAAACAGAUGACUAAGUGAUUUGAAUUAAGAUCGAAGAAUUUGUUUCUGGUUAUGGUUUUGGAGGAUGAUAGAUUUGAUUUGAGGUGUUUACUAGAAUUUAGAUAUAACCAUAGGCAAAUAGGAAGCACGGCGACCCCUACUUGAAUCUCUGGCUUAUACCCUUUACAAGAACACUAGGCCUCUGUCCUAUAUUUGAUGUUUCCAGAGUUAGAGAUUUGGAGGAAGCUCGGAUGACUUAGGGAUUUGAAUCAAGAUGGAAGAAUUUGUUAGGGUUAUGGGUUUUGGAGGAUGAAAGAUUUGAUUCGAGGUGUUGACUGGAGUUUAGAUAUAAAACAAUAUUCAAAAUGUUUUCUUUCUAUUCUACUAACAAGCUGAAAAAAGAAAGAAAGAAAGAAGCGGGAUUAAUGGAUUAAUAAUCAUACUGAAGAUUAAUGGAUCCAUGGUGAAGAAACGAGAAACCAAGAGGGAAAAGAGAUCCAAAAUCGCAUUUUUUUCACACCAUAAAAAAAAAAAUCGCAUCUUUUUACUUAUAAUGAUGGAUUCACGGUUCAAAUUUUCAUUCGCGAUUAUGGUAACAAUUUUACAAAAAGAGAUUAAUAUCUGGGCAUCAUAUUCUUGUAGAAUUAAUGAUGGAAACGAGAAAUGCAGGUGGAGAAAGAUGCCAAGAUCGUAGCUUUUUACGCAAUAUAGCUUAACUGCUUAAGGGAAUGGAAUGGAUGGAUAUACCCUGGCGGAGAUGGAGGCGGUGCCGUGGGAGUCGUCCGCUCAGACCACGGUGUAGUCGGCCAGGAUGAGGACGUUGGCGUGCAUCUCCUCCGACACGCACUUGGUCCCCGAAGGCGGGAGGCUCCGUCACACCGCCGCCGCGCGCAGCGGCGGCGCCAGCAGCCGCGCAGCGGAGAAUAGCAGCAGCACGAAGUCUGCUCGCCGGAGCACGGCACCCUUCCCCGUCCCCAUCCCUCUCCUCAUUGUCGACUUCUCCACCUAUGUUUUGGUCGCCGAACACAGGAUACGGCACCGGCCGGACUCUCGACGGCUCGACGCUAUUUCCGGGCAAAGCGAUGCGAGCGAAGGCCCCACAAGUAAUUGGCUCAAAUAGGCGGACCCGAGUAAACCCAAACCUCAUUGGUUGAGGUGAACUCAAUUGCAUUCUGGUGGCAAUGGUUGGGGUUUGGUUUAGACUGGAUCAAGGCACGGGCACUUAAACAACAUCCUUCAAUUUAAACCUUGGCAAUUUAAAUAAAAUCAAAAAUUCAAAUCCAAAGCCAUCAUAUUGAUUAAAUAGAUGGCCCAACACCUCAACCAUAAUCUUUUAAUAAAUAUAUAGGUCAAAUUAGGUUAUACAAGUUAAACGAACUUUAGAUGGGUUGGGUUGCAAUCAAGUUGAUCCAACCUAAUUAUUAAAUGUGCCGAAAUAAGUCAAAUAGGAUAGGACUCUAAACUCGAACCGGCUCACUUUAUAGGUGGAUAAUAGUCAGGUCAACUUAUUUAAUUACAACCAACAAGUCUACUUAUUUCAAGUCUGUCGAGUUAGCAUAUUAGAUCAUAAAUUGUCAUCCUAUGUUAACUUAAGUGCUAUAUAUCUUUUCUUUUAAUUUUUAUUUUUCUUCUAAUUGAAUAGUGCACCAUCUUGUACAUGUCUCUCUAGAUCAUGUCUUAGAGUGAAUUUAAUUGAAGUGUCGGUCUCUUGGAUGUCCGUUAUAGGUUGUCGUGCCAUCAUUUUAUUUUGGUGAAUUAUUUGGUAAUUUGAUGUGUCAUUUUGGUUCUAGAGGUAGGGUAGGGUCACACGACAGAUAGUGAUUGAUCUCAGCAUAUGAAGAUAUUUUUGUUAAGAUCCGAUAGUUUGUAUAGUUAGAAGAACUAUGAUUCCUAGUUGCUUCACUUUAGUUGCUUGCCCAGGCAGUCAACUUGCAUUGGUUAGUGAUUUUUUAUUAAGCUUUCAGGGCUUGUUUGAACGAGGGAUGAUGCAAUCCAUGCAUAGCUUUCUAUUCACAGGAACAAGUGAAGAAUUCGAUAAAUCACCCAAACUAGAAGCAGAGUUUGAUUUCAUCAUCAAGCCUUUAACAAGCAAAAUGAGUUUCUCACUCCUAAACUUUACCGGAUUUAUGGUCAAAAUUUUAAGCACAAUUAGCUUAGAGCAAACAAAGAAAUCGAAGAAAACAUAAAUAACUCUGGUUGUUUUCUAUGGAAGUCACCAAUAUUCUGACGCUGCCUAUCACCAUAAAAAAGCUUAAUGCUAUUUAUACUUUAUAUUGAGCUAUAUGAUACUUUCAAUUCAUUCUCAUGCGACCCGCAUCCGAAUAAAAGAAAACAAGAUUACCUACUUAAUCCAAAGAAAAUAUGAACCAUUAAUCACAAUAGAGUUACAAUCCCACGACUAUCACGAUCGUCCAUCCUAUAUAUCACAUGUGCUAGUGCAAAAUAUUUUGACCAAAUACAUGUGAAAUGCCUCCUAAAAUCAUCAUGCUGACUUUGAUUUUUUUCCGCCCUUAUAGAUAGCGUAAGAAGGCAUCCGACUCUAGUGCUGCUUUCUUAUCUUGGGACCGACCAUCUUGGUCUGAACUCUUGUUACCUGAACCAUAAGGAACAAAUUCCAGGCACAUCAGCACCUAUGCGCCCUGAAUCACUAAAACAAGUGCUCAUUUCUUCAUCUCUGUGAACUGGAUUCACCAAAAAAGUAAAAGCAAUCAUAAAGUAGUGUUCCAUGCCAUUCAUUGGAAGUUCUACUACUUUGCAGCAGCAAUCCCAUUUGCAUGGUGCAACGAACUUUUAAGGAGGAUAUUCUAUGGAGAAAGGUGAAGGCUCAACACCUCUGAAAGGAGAAAAAGAUGGCGGGACCAACAACGAGAAUGAUUGAGAUGAUGCACGCAAAUUAGCUUAAAGUACUGUUGCAUUGAGAUGAUAACCUUUAGCCAUGCACGCAAUAUUUUAUCAUAAUUUAUUCAUUUUUGUACAUUUUUGACACCAAGUUGCAUCCGGUCCAUUUCCUUCCCAAAUCAUGCAUAAAGUGCGAGCACUCAACAGCUGAAGGCUCCAUUACAUAAUUAAGAAAGUGACAGCAUAUUCUACUAGUUGCGUAAAGAAAAUGGAGCUAAAUUCUUCAAGGAAUCUCUGCAACAGUGGCAUGGUCGGCAGAAUUAGAUUUAAUGGCGUCGGUCUCAGAUAUCGGUAGCUCGAGCACCCCUAAUUUAUUCUCGUUAUCGUCCGAGGAUUUGGCCAGGUGAUCCUCGCUCUUACCCCAUAUGAGAGAGUAGAGACCAAUAACUAUGAUAGUUGCUCCAACCACCCUAUCAAGUUCAGAGAAGUCAGUGUAUAACCAAACUCUAUAUCACUAUAUAUAGCUGCUAUGAGAUAACAAGAACUCACUCAUACCUUCCUAAAGUGAUCUCCUCUGCUAAAAUGAUGGAGCCCAGAAUAGCUACUAUUAUCAUGCAAAGAGGGUUGAAUGCAGUCACGAAGACAGGGCCCCUUUCUUUCAUCACUAUUCCUUGAACAAAAUAUGCGAUCCCGGAGCACAUUAUUCCCUGCAUUAGAAUCAGUUCAAUUGAUAAAAGUUAUUAGCUCAGGAACAUAAAUACCGGCAUAAGUUUGGUCUGUUCCUAUGAUUUAGAUGCUUCAACAUCUAUAAUUAUCUCAAACAAAGAUCCCAUUGUAAGAAGCAUCUCACGGAGUAAGCAGCCGUUAGGAGUCUCAGGUCAAAUCCUAUCAACCAUGGCUUGGCAGUAUGCUCCAUUACGAGACCAACUGCACCACUUUGCACCAUACCCAUGACGCAUAUCCAGGCGGUCAAGGAAAGCUCUGCCGGAUAGGACUUCAAUGUAUGCGACUGAACCAAAGAAUCAACCAUCAUGGUGAAUUAGUCACCUAGAGAUGUCUACUUUUCUUCUGUGAUUGAAACAUAUAUAAGGCAUUAUUCGAGCUUCAAUUCUGGUGAUGAAAGAGCAUUACUUGUAGCAGAAAGAAAGCAGACCAACAGAAGCAGCUCCACAGUAGCAUAAACACGCCCUCAAGCCAAUGCUUAUCAUCUUGGUUGCCAGUGUUAUUGUUGUGGUGGCUCCGUCGACCCUCUGUCCAUACAAAGUCCACCACCGGUCCUUUGUAUAGUAUCAUGAGCAAUGCACCCACCAGAGUCACCAGAGUCCCAGCAAUCUUGGCUUGGCUGCGCCGUUUCUUGAUAUCUAUUUUCUCCAUUCUAAUCACACAAUGAAACAUAGUUAGCCUGCGGAACUUAGUUUAUAAUUGCGCGAAAAGUUUUGCUUAAGAUAUUUCGAUAGAGAUGGUUGAAGCUAUUACCUGAGAAGAACGGCGUUGACGAAGGUCAUCGCAGGAAGUAUGUUGUAGAAGGCAGAUGAGAAGCUUGCAUUCGUGUUCUUGGUCCCCAUGUAAUAAAAAUUUUGGUCGAGCACAGGCCUAGCAUGGAAGAUGAGGCACAGCAUUAAGGAAGAAGAAGUUGAUUUUUACGAAGUUUGAUCUAAUUAAUUACAUAGAACUUUGGUGGGUGAGUAGAUGAGUACUCUAGUAGUGCUAAAGCCAUUAUCUUGAGGAAGUUGCAGAGUGUCAUCUUUGGCCUCGCUUUCCUGUUGAAGAGAAGAGAGGGACAUGUUGGCCGAAAGAAGAAGAAAGAGACAUGCAUGCAAUUAGCUAGUAAUGCUGCUCAAGUGUUAAAGAGGGCUGUUUUUAAACUAGAACAUUAGAGGAUGGGAUGUGCUCGUAUGUAUACAACGCCCACAAUUAAGUUGUCUCCAUCACCAUUGCAUCAUGGAUUCAUGGGUGUAAUAGUUUGUAGUAUUGCGUUGGUGCAUAAGAGGUUCCACAAAUAAAAGAACUAAGGGUGCAUGGAUCAGACGGACCUUGUGACUCUAAACUCACGCCAUGAUCCAACCAAUCUGGAUUAGACCUGUCUCCUCGAUCUGGCUUUGGUUUCGUGGGUGAGCACAUCAAAUUCGGUGGUGCACAUUUCUUCGUGCUUGGGGUGAAAAAUGGACUGACCAAUCUGCGAACUGGACCCUGAUAGAGGUGCCAGGGUGUUUUUCUUUUGUUUUCUUGAGGGAAGAUUAAUUUGGUUAAGCUUUGGCUUACACUAUGUCAGCUUUGGUUCUAAUGACCUUGAGAAUGAAACUUUUUUUUCCAAAGUAAAUUGAGAAAGCAACUUGUUACUUUGACUGACCUAGUAUUUUAUGUAACAAUCUUUUUUUCGUAAAAAUUAUAAAUUCUUGUGCAUAUGUAUGGGCUUUUGCACGACCAAGGAAAAUAAUUAUAAAUGUUUCACUUUAGCUUAGCAUGAUGUAAAUGUAGAGAGGAAAUUGGUAUAGGUUCAUUUUUAUUGUUUAAUAAAGUUUAAAAGAAGAAAAAUUAUUUUUGAAUCCAAUGAUGUGGAGACUAUGAGAAAGAUUUAAGAUUCAAAUGAAAUUCAAGGAAGCUUGGGUUUAAGACCCACGAUUUCACCCAAAAAGACUAGUUGAAAGAUGUUAUUUGGAUUCCUGAGCUCUAUAUAAGUACUCAAGAUCUAUCUAAUGUAUAAACGAUGUGGGACUAAAUAUAUACAUGCAUAAGUCUUCGUAUACUCUUACCGUUUAAGUUAUAGCAUUCUCGUCAGGCUAAAAGGUCCAAAUUCAGUUAAAUCUAAUCAUAAACAUCAAAUUGACCUAAAGUCGGCCCCACAAAAUAUAAUGCUGCAGUGUCCACUAAUUCAUAUGGGUUAUAAGUCAUGUCUGCAUUGAUAUUAUUAGAAACGACCCAAAAUCUUACCCAGUAAAACAAGCUAUGCAUAAAUAUCCAAACUCUAUACGUAGAAUAGUCAACAUGCAUGGGAAUUCAUGUUAAGAAUAUGCCUGGGUAUGACAGGCCCUUUUGACAAUAUUCUCUUCAUAGAAUUAAGUUUUUGCUUGUCUCUUGGGCUGGUACUAUAAACAAGAAGAGGGGAAAAAAAAGGAAUUGUCGCUCUUUUUAAUUUCUUCAUGAUUCAAUUUUUCUUGGGUACUUUUCGGUGGUCCUUGAUUGUGGGAUCACCCUAAGUCUAGGCUCUUCUUUUUUCUUUCACUUUUUUAAAUUGGCAUGGCAUCAUAAUUCCUUAAUUUUGGAAUGCUUAAUAUUUUAUGAUGGUGCUGAUCCAACUAUCUAUUGGAUUUUUGCUUUUUCUUCAAUGGAGCAAGUGGAACUGUCACCUCUAUAUCACGUAAAAAGAAAAGAAUAGACAAGACAAGAUACGAGGGGGGAGAAACAGAAAAAGAGCUUUCCAGCAUUUACCUGGCUAAUGAAGGGCCAAAAAGAAAAUUUUACCUCGAGCCAAGCUUCCACGUGGUAACACUUAAAUGGUUACUUGAGUCGAGCUUGGAGAAAGUUUCUUAAACUUUAGAUGCGGAGCAAUUAUACCAUGCACCAGGAGCACCACAUCAUCAGAACCCAAAGAGAAUGAAAAAUCUGAUUGGUGUGGUGCACCACGAAGAUGCUGCAAGUCUAGGUCAAGCCUUGACCGGUAGAAACAGGCCCUUUCUUCUUUUUUUUUCUGAGUGGUGACGUAGUUCUAGCUAGAGUCCAACGGGCACCUUCCAUUUUCCUUACUUGUAUCACGACCAAAGUGGUACAUCAAACCAGAUGAAUGGCUUAUCUAAUCUAAUUCAUGACAUGCAUGCAUGUAUUUAUGCAAGUCAUGCCAAUCCUCAGUGCCUACCGGUAACUCUUUCAGAUUCUACGUACUCUAUAUCAUGAGAAUCAUGGUGGAAGUAAACACCAGAGCUAAGACAGAGGGAGGGGGGAGAGAGACCUCUCGAACCACAACGCGAAUGGGGCGAUGAAGGCCGCUGCGAUGGCAUUGCGAUACACCACGAGCACGUAAUGGCUCAUGCCUUGCUUGAGCGUUGCGACCGAGAUCACGUACAUCCCGGCAUACCCAAACUGCAAGAAGACCAUAGCCAAGUAUGGCUUCACCCUGCUCCAAACCCCACCAAACGACAUCCUAUAUAUCUAUCUCCUCAACACCCUUCUCUCCUAACUCCAAUCUCUUAUGGGACUCAAAGCUAAAUGCAGCCUUAUAUAUAUAUACAGCUGAAAAUCAGAUCGCCGCCCUAUGGACCACAGUAGGAACAAUAGUUUUCAAGGGGUGGGGGGGUCUCUCCUAGAUUCCAUUAUUAUCCAUGGACAACAGGAAAGGAGCCCAUUUUCCAAGGACUCUCAGAGGUGAGGUCUGUAAGGUCCACAAUCUUCUCAAGUGAUGUGGUCAAAAGAAAGCUAGCUUUAAGAGGAUGUGGAGAGCUUUCUAUCCAUUCUUUUGGAGUCUUAAUAAAUGAAAAGUAUUGGUGAGUGACAGAUUAAAGGACUGUCUAAUGGAAACAAGGAUUAGUGCAUGCUGAUGAAGGCAGUGCAACUCGAUGCACUCAUCUUAGGAUUUUGAGGUUUUCCUCUUUUUUUUUCCCGGUGCAUGAUCCAUUCCAAUGCAUGCACUUGAUAUAUAGUUGCUUUACCUCAAUCAUGUAGCAAAUAGGAAUCUCUGGAGUUUGACGUAAAUCAUGUGCUGGCCCAAUGACAGAAGUGCAAGGUUCUGCUACGUAGCAUUCGAUUGUAACCUAUGCCUUUAGUUAUAGAGGCCGAUUAAAGCAAAGAGAAGGAAACGGGGCUGCUUAAACCUCCUCAGCUUUUGGUAAAUUGACGUGCGACAAAAUUUUUUGUUUUUGCGACUCAGAUGCUUUUAAAUAUUCAAACAAGUGUACAUCUACGUGAAUCCAAAAAACUUAAAAAAUUGAACAAAAAUAUCUACCGAAGAAAUUCAUAAAAUAGAUUCGAUUGGCUGCACUAUUAGCUUCCACUUAGAUUAUAAAGGAGACUUAAAAGCUAGGACACGUACUAAUUAAGAGUUUUAGCAGACUUUCCGUUCUCUCUGCAGUAGUCUUUGUUUAACCUUUUGAAAAGAAAAGGAAGAAAGAGAAGAGUCUGGCCGAAACACGCCAUGGACUAGUUUGGUCAUUAGCUCCUGCAGCAUCCGGAAACCCCCAUGACAUGGUGACGACAUGGUGUUAAUCUUGUCCCAUCACCUUUUUAUAUGCAAACAUUUUGGGUGCACGCAUACCUUACCAAUUACUUUCCAUAUAAUCAUUAUGCCUGAGAUUAUGCACAUAUACGGAAAAAAAAAAUCAGACAAGAUUGAGCCGCCACAUCUUUACGGAAUAAAUUCUAAAAUGUAGAGGGAUUUCAAACUGAAUCAGAACAUGAACCAACAUAGUCCCGACAAGCCUCUCAAGGUGAUAGGACUACUUUGACCAAGUAACUUUUGAGUUGGAUAAAAGUAGAAACAAAUAAAUGAAGAUCCUUGUGAAGCAAAUUCUAAACUUAGUUUGGUCUUCUUCUUAAUCAAGGGGACUAGUCUAGUUGGUAAAAUUAUUGGGUUCUUGUUUGCGAUGAUUCUGAGUGGCUGGAUAGCAAUAACCCCUUCCAUAUCUCAUAAAAAAUAGAAAAGAAAAGAUGAGUCUUGGGCAAUAAAGGGCCUGUUUGAAUGGCACUAAGUGAGCAUUCAACUUUUCUAGAGCAACUAAGCUUUUGAGAAUAAUCGUAUUAUAUUAGCAAUAUGUACAGUCUCUAUCAUAUGGACCCAUCUUUAAUAUUUUUUUGGAUGAUUGCAUCAUUAAACAAGAACCCUUCCAUGGAUCUAUGAAUGCUUAAAUGCAUCUCAUGCGAUCUCUAUCGUAAGAGACUCAUCUUUAUUUUUUUGGGAUAAGUAAAUCAUUAAACAAGUUCCUUGCAUGGAUCUGCAGAUACUUAAAAUGCAACUCAUGCCGAUAUAAUAUCCUAUUUGAUUAGCAUUAAUCAUGGAAUACAUGCACAUGCAACAUCUCCAUAUAUUGUGUAGCCAUACACGAGCCCCUGCAGGCAGGGAAAGAAGUCCAAAGUAACCCAAGCUACCACCUAAGACCACCUAGCAAAAUGGUGCAUGGAUGCCACUUAAAUUAACAUACGAGUCAUGGCAAUUGCACUCACUUAAAAAAAAAGAGAAGAAAUCAGUAAUUCUACAGCAGGCAGCUCAAAAAUGGUAAUUGCUCUCACCUUCAGUAACCACAUAUGCAUUAAAUAAAAAGACUUUCAUUGAGGAUGCAUUUGGACCCUAAACCAAAAACUUACAUUGCAGAAUGGACAUUAUAUUUCUAUCAUAUAGAUACCUGUUUCCCAUAUAAAAUGUGCGAUAAAAUGAGGAAGAUAGUGGGCACAAUUGCAACUCCUUUCAAUCAGCAAAUAAAUCCAAGGAAUUGGUCGACAAAAGACCACAUCAUUUGUAUAACAAAUAUCCCGUCAGUGCCGAUGAGAAUCUAGGGCUUCUCUGUUGAACUGCAUUCGACAUCUAAUUUUAAAAAGGGAAGGUUGCAUUUAAAAACUAAAGAGGUAACUGAGCAUUCUUAUGCUCUUCAGAGAAUGAAUGCGUAUGAAUGUGAACAAUGAGAGAGACGCAUUUGUAUCUUUGAAACCCAUUUUAAGGGGCAUUGGGCGAGAAAUCGUCCAUAGAUAAUCGAACUAUCAUACGCCUUGGAAAUGAUAUGAGGUGUUCGGAAAUGGUUGAAGUAGUUGAAUAGGAGGAUCACUAUGACUAUAGCCCAUGGUAGAUUUACCAAAGAAGAAAAUGAUUUAUUUGAUAUCCAUCA
rnacentral:lncRNA from 1 species